UACGAAGGGGGCUAGCGUUGUUCGGAAUCACUGGGCGUAAAGCGCACGUAGGCGGAUCUUUAAGUCAGGGGUGAAAUCCCGAGGCUCAACCUCGGAACUGCCUUUGAUACUGGGGAUCUCGAGUCCGGGAGAGGGUAGUGGAAUUCCCAAUGUAGCGGUGAAAUGCGUAGAUAUUGGGAGGAACACCAGUGGCGAAGGCGGCUACCUGGACCGGAACUGACGCUGAUGCGCGAAAGCGUGGGUAGCAAACAGG
rnacentral:rRNA from 1 species